AGUGUAAUCCUAUCUACAGAAUACCUUUACAGCAAUCCCUGGAUUAGUGCUCAGUUGAAUGAGUGGGGGCUGAAUGACGGGACUGCAGCCUAGCCAGGCUGAUACAUGAAAAAGAUCAUCACAGAUGUCUAAACCGUGGACCAAGCCUUAAGAAAUAUGUCAAUAUAAGAUUAGCUCAGAAAAAAUACGUCAUGAGCCAGAGAAGACAGGUACAGAGUUGAAGAACAAGGAACAGAGGAGACAACAGCCAUUUCAAAAAGAAGAUGAGAAUAAAGGAGAGCAAUAUAUAUCAUAUAUACAAUAAUGAAGAACAAUAAUAUUGGCUAUGGGUUUUCUCGGGAUUCAGAACUUCUGAGAAAAAUACUCUGAUAUCCCUAAAGUUUUGAAAUGCAAUUAUAGGACUCGAACAGAACAGAACAGAACAGAGAGACAAAGAUGAGAAGGGAAAGAGAGGAGUCUGGGAGAUGUGUAAGGACACGGACUGCAUGAUUUCUGGGUCGGUGGAAAUUUCCUUCUGAGAAAAUGGCUGAAGAAAAUUAUGUUGGAAAGUUUGCAUUUCUACAACUAAGAUUCAUCUUCCCAGUUGCUGAACCUGGAAGGUCCAUAAAAUCCACCAUAACUGUGAGCUGAUCUUCUGGACGAUCGUCAAGGACCCUCAUUUACACUGUACUUUUAUACAGUAAACCCAACCUGUCUGUGUGGUAACAUUGAAACUCUAGACACCAUCUCCUUUUCUCCACCAACAUAUCUCCUCUAAUCUCUUUGGACUUGGCAUUUGUCUUUUCAAAAAUUUAUUUGUUGCAUUUUAGACUUCAUGGUCUUGCGUGGACUGAGCUUUCUCAGUCCUAUCAUAUCAGUUUCUUCUAGCUACUAUAACAAGUUACCACAAAGUUAGCGGCUUAAAACAACAGAAAUAUAUUCACCCACAGUUCUGCAAACCAGAGUCUGAAAUGGC
rnacentral:lncRNA from 1 species